GACGAACGCUGGCGGCGUGCUUAACACAUGCAAGUCGAACGGAAAGGCCCUGCUUGUGUGGGGUGCUCGAGUGGCGAACGGGUGAAUAACACGGGAGUAACCUGCUCUUGACUUGGGUAUAACUUCAGGAAACUGGGGCUUAUACCGGAGAGGCGCUCCUGCGGCAUGGUGGGGGUUGGAAAGUUUGGUCGGUUGGGGAUGGACUCGCGGCUUAUCAGCUUGUUGGUGGGGUAGUGGCUUACCAAGGCUUUGACGGGUAGCCGGCCUGAGGGGGUGACCGGCCACAUUGGGCCUGAGAUACGGCCCAGACUCCAACGGGAGGAAGCAGUGGGGAAUAUUGAACAAUGGGCGGAGGCCUGAUGCAGCAACGCCGCGUGCGGGAUGACGGCCUUCGGGUUGUAACCCGCUUCCGCCUGUGACGAAGCGUGAGUGACGGUAAUGAGUAAAGAAGCACCGGCUAACUACGUG
rnacentral:rRNA from 1 species